UAUAUUUAACACGUAAUUGGAAUAUUUAUCAUAUCCAUCAUGUAAUCUAGUGUUCUAUAAGUUGAAAAUAGUGAAACUAUAAUUAUAAGAGAGAAUUAAGACGUGGGAUAUUAAUAUUAUAUUAGUUGAAAGAAAAUAAUAUAUAUAGAAUCUAUUAUAUGUUUCCACGUA